rnacentral:rRNA from 1 species
AGAGUUUGAUCCUGGCUCAGAUUGAACGCUGGCGGCAGGCCUAACACAUGCAAGUCGAGCGGUAACACAGGGAGCUUGCUCCUGGGUGACGAGCGGCGGACGGGUGAGUAAUGUCUGGGAAACUGCCUGAUGGAGGGGGAUAACUACUGGAAACGGUAGCUAAUACCGCAUAACGUCUUCGGACCAAAGUGGGGGACCUU